rnacentral:rRNA from 1 species
GACGUAGGGCGCGAGCGUUGUCCGGAUUUAUUGGGCGUAAAGAGCUCGUAGGCGGCUUGUCGCGUCGACUGUGAAAUCCCGCGGCUCAACUGCGGGUCUGCAGUCGAUACGGGCAGGCUAGAGUUCGGUAGGGGAGACUGGAAUUCCUGGUGUAGCGGUGAAAUGCGCAGAUAUCGGAAGGAACAUCAGUGGCGAAAGCGGCUUCCUGGACCAGCACCGACGUUCAGGCACGAAAGCGUGGGGAGCAAACAGG